rnacentral:rRNA from 1 species
AUGAAUGCUUGCGGCGUGCCUAAUACAUGCAAGUCGAGCGAACGGACGAGAAGCUUUCUUCUCUGAUGUUAGCGGCGGACGGGGUAUUAACACGUGUAUAACCUACCUAUAAGACUGGGAUAACUUCGGGAAACCGGAGCUAAUACCGGAUAAUAUUUUGAAUCGCAUGUUUCAAAAGUGAAAGACGGUCUUGCUGUCACUUAUAUAUGGAUCCGCGCUGCAUUAGCUAUUUGGUAAGGUAACGGCUUACCAAGGCAACGAUGCAUAGCCGACCUGAGAGGGGGAUCGGCCACACUGGAACUGAGACACGGUCACGACUCCUACGGGAGGCAGCAGUAGGGAAUCUUCCGCAAUGGGCGAAAGCCUGACGGAGCAACGCCGCGUGAGUGAUGAAGGUCUUCGGAUCGUAAAACUCUGUUAUUAGGGAAGAACAUAUGUGUAAGUAACUGUGCACAUCUUGACGGUACCUAAUCAGAAAGCCACGGCUAACUACGUG